rnacentral:rRNA from 1 species
AGUGAACGCUGGCGGUAGGCCUAACACAUGCAAGUCGAACGGCAGCACAGUAAGAGCUUGCUCUUACGGGUGGCGAGUGGCGGACGGGUGAGGAAUACAUCGGAAUCUACUUUUUCGUGGGGGAUAACGUAGGGAAACUUACGCUAAUACCGCAUACGACCUACGGGUGAAAGCAGGGGAUCUUCGGACCUUGCGCGAUUGAAUGAGCCGAUGUCGGAUUAGCUAGUUGGCGGGGUAAAGGCCCACCAAGGCGACGAUCCAUAGCUGGUCUGAGAGGAUGAUCAGCCACACUGGAACUGAGACACGGUCCAGACUCCUACGGGAGGCAGCAGUGGGGAAUAUUGGACAAUGGGCGCAAGCCUGAUCCAGCCAUACCGCGUGGGUGAAGAAGGCCUUCGAGUUGUAAAGCCCUUUUGUUGGGAAAGAAAAGCAGCAGGUUAAUACCCCGCUGUUCUGACGGUACCCAAAGAAUAAGCACCGGCUAACUUCGUG